UCGAACGGGCUCUUCGGAGCUAGUGGCGGACGGGUGAGUAACGCGUGAGAAUCUGCCUUCAGGUCUGGGACAACAGAAGGAAACUUCUGCUAAUCCCGGAUGAGCCCUUGGGUAAAAGAUAAAUUGCCUGGAGAUGAGCUCGCGUCUGAUUAGCUAGUUGGUAUGAUAAAAGCAUACCAAGGCGACGAUCAGUAGCUGGUCUGAGAGGAUGAGCAGCCACCCUGGGACUGAGACACGGCCCAAACUCCUACGGGAGGCAGCAGGGGGGAAUUUUCCGCAUUGGGCGAAAGCCUGACGGACCAAGACCGCGUGGGGGAGGAAAGCUCUAGGGUUGUAACCCCCUUUCCUUUGGAAAAAAGUACGGACGGAACCAAAGGAUUCACCCUCGGCUAAUUCCGUGC
rnacentral:rRNA from 1 species